UACGAAGGGGGGCUAGCGUUGCUCGGAAUGACUGGGCGUAAAGGGCGCGUAGGCGGAUGGCUUUGUCGGGCGUGAAAUUCCAGGGCUUAACCUUGGGGCUGCGUUCGAGACGGGUUGUCUUGAGUGGGGAAGAGGGUCGUGGAAUUCCCAGUGUAGAGGUGAAAUUCGUAGAUAUUGGGAAGAACACCGGUGGCGAAGGCGGCGACCUGGUCCUUUACUGACGCUGAGACGCGAAAGCGUGGGGAGCAAACAGG
rnacentral:rRNA from 1 species